rnacentral:rRNA from 1 species
UACGGAGGGUGCGAGCGUUGUCCGGAAUCACUGGGCGUAAAGCGCGUGUAGGCGGCCAUACAGGUCCGUUGUGAAAACUCGAGGCUUAACCUCGAGACGUCGAUGGAAACCGUAUGGCUAGAGUCCGGAAGAGGAGAGUGGAAUUCCUGGUGUAGCGGUGAAAUGCGCAGAUAUCAGGAGGAACACCAACGGCGAAGGCAGCACUCUGGGCCGGAACUGACGCUGAGGAGCGAAAGCGUGGGUAGCGAACAGG